AUUAAGGGAUGCAGUGCAGAGGGACAUGGCAAGUAAGAGCCGAUGGAGGGGUCCCUUAGCCAAGCUGGUCAUUUUAGGGGAGAGCUGGGGAGAGAUGAUCUGAGCUAGUCCAUGGACUAGUAGCUAUUAGCCAGGUAAGCGGGGGAAAGGACAUUUCCCUCUGAAGGAAGAGGAUGUCUUUAGUGACAUAAGAGAAGGUACAGCAAAGAGCACUGGCUGAAACUGGAACUUGAUCAGAGAGGGGAUUUGAUCAGGGUGACAUGGGCAAGCAGGGGACAGACUGGAAUCCCCCUGUGGGCUGUGCUAAGGAACUUAGUUCUUAGGGCUGCUGUGUAAAUGAAGAAGUACUGAAGCCUUUUAAGCAAAUAUUAGCCCUGUUAGAACUUGAGAGAACAUUCAAAAUAGUAGUGAUAGUAACAGAAGUUGGUAUUCAUUGCAUACUUCUUAUAUACCAGGUAAUGUUUUAGACAUUUUUCCUAAUAUGAGAUGUGUUGGUGUCACAGAAGCCUUGCCCAAAACCAUAGUACUAAGGUAUGAGAGCAAGCAAGGUACAAACCACAUCAGACUUCCACUACCAACCUUGCUCUCUACCACUAAGCUAUAAAAAUCCCACAUAUCCAUCUGCACGUCUCCCACUGGGCUUUCUCAGAAACAAAGGCUAUUUCCCAGCGCUGACCUCUUUCCCAUUGUAGUCUUUCAGUUUUAAUCUACCUGGUUUAGAAGUGCUCUGGCCUAAACUACAGCUGUGUGACUUUGCAAUCCCCUCCUCCCCCAGGUUUCAACUCUCUGGAAGGCAUAGAAGAUUCCAUAUGAGCUGGACUCCUUUGUCCUUCAGUGACAGUCCUGUGGCCCCCCUCCCCCCAGGAAGCCAACUCUGCAAGGAGGAAGUACAAGGAGAGCUUCAAGGAAGUGAGAUUUUCAGGCAAAAGGACCAAAUGACCAUAGAAACUUCUGAAACCAGAAGCCAAAGUGAACUUUUCUUCCGCCAUGUUGGAGUCAAGUUAUUGGUCACAACAAUGGAAACUUAACUCAGAGAUCAUGACAUGAUCCCACUAAGAACCUCUGGGCUUCCUACUUUCCCCUUAGCAGACUCCUCUCCCCAGGCAGCAUCCAUCUUUUUGAAGCCUGUCUAGACACUGGGCUUUCUACAGGUAACUAGAGGUUAUAUAUUAUAAACUCCUGCUUUUCAUGCUUUCACGUGCAUGUACAUAGUUGUCACAUGUACCCUCCUUCAUAUUGUUUGGGUUCUGAAGCUUACCUGACUGACUGGUAAAUGCUUAGCUUACAUUGGCCAUCUUAGCCCAUUUCCCCUCUCAAGCCUUGUCUGGCCUUGUUGUUGUAAAAUUAUAAAAAAUAAAAUGCUG
rnacentral:sRNA from 1 species